rnacentral:lncRNA from 1 species
CCUGCCCCAGCCCGCCAGCCCGCCACCCUCUUCGCUAGCGAACAGCACGCGCUCUUCCUCACUCUCGCCCCCUCCCUCCCCACCUCGUGCGCCUCCUCCCUUACCCCUCCACCAGGCGGCGCGAGCUGAGCCUCGUACCCGUCCCUGCGGCUCUGCUCCCCCCACCCCGCCACCGCCUUCCAGCGCGCUCCCGCCCGCCUGUCGAGAGGGGAAGGGGAGGGGGCGCACAAGCUCCCGGCCCGCCCCCCUCCCGCCCACCAGCCGAGGGCGCUUCUGCCAGCGCGGGGCCGGAGUAGUCUCGGCUGUUGGAACGGUGGGGCCGCAGCCGCCGCAGCCGGUAACAGCCGCCGCGCGAGCGGGUGCAGGCGGGGGACUUCGCCCCGGGCUGGGGUCUCUCGCUCAGCCCCCCGCGAGUCCGGCCCCCGGGUGGGGCAGGUGGAGGGAGCUCAAGGUAGGACCCUCCCUCCGAAGCCCCCGGGAGCGAAGGCGCAGCAGCUGCCCCAGCUCCCGAGCAGGCGGGGAUGCGCAGGGCGGGGGUCACGUCGUAAGUCCCGGACCGGAGCCGGAGCGAGUCCCCGGUGCAUUAUGGCUACCUAAUCCCUGGUGUUUUUGAAUGGCGGGCAAGAAGCCUCAGCUGUUGGCUACAUUAUCUGCUCCCCAGGAACCCAUAUACCACUGAGAACAAUUUUGGUGACUGUGGUCUCCAGAUGCUGACUGUAAGCUGUUGUUGCAGCCCAGGGCAAACAGGUGAAGUACAGAGACUGGGUGGCACCAGCUGUAUCUCUUUCUGGGACUAGGGACAAGUCAAACCUAAAAAUAGCCCCCCAGGUUAUUGCCAGGAGACCAAAUGACUAGAACAGAACCCACACCGGGAAAUAUGGGACUGUAGUAUAUAUACUGAAAUCUUAGUGCUACAGUCAUUGAUAUACCUACAGAUCACCAGCCCCUAUGUUGCAUGUAGAUCUAUCAUGGACGUUCAUGUUUUACAGUCAACAAUAAGAGGACUCUGACUUCUUUCCCUCUCAGGCUUAAAACUUACAUUUAUAUCACUAACAAGAGCAAACCUAGAUUGUAAAACGAGCACAUGAUGUAUGCAGUUAACAGAAUGCAGUAUGUCUUAUUAAAAGUCAUAGUACUUUCAUAGUCAUGUUUGGUCAUAUUCUUUAUGAAGCACAGGCUUUUCCUGGCCAUUCAGACAUAUUGUUUGGUAUUUGUUUGGACCAAUCACCAACCAAUCCUAAAUGCUGUGAUCCUCAAGUAUUG